rnacentral:lncRNA from 1 species
UGUGUGCGCACACUUGUGGAGGCCAUAGAUCAAUGUCAGAAUCAAUGCUUAGAAUCUAAACCAGGCUAGCAAGCCAGAGUCCAGGUGUGAAUGUCAGAGAACAACUUGUGGGAGAUGAUUCCCUCCUUCCAUGGUUCGGGUUCCAGGUUCAAACUCAGAUCAUUAACCUUGACGGAGGAUACGGUGCAACUAUCAUCAGUUAUCCUGAAUCCGGGUUCAUCCGACACCAGCCACCUCCACCAUGCCACCCAAGUUCGAUCCCAAUGAGAUCAAAGUCAUGUACUUGAGGUGCACCGAAGGUGAGCCCAGCAGGUCCUGCCUCCACUUUCUGCCUUACCUGUGAUCCUGGGCCUGUACCACGACUAAGCUCCUGCUGUGUUCCGUGCUGGAGCUGUGGCUUGUCACUUAAGAGCACUGGCUGCUCUUCCAGAGGACCUGGGUUUGUUUCCCACCACCCACAUGUUGACUCUCAAACACCAAAAAC